AUGUUUGAGCCGGAUAAAUAUCCUGGCCUUGAUGAUUAUUACGAGGAGAAGCAUCGUGUUGUGCUUGUGGAAAGAGGGGAGGUUCCUCCAGUACUUCGGUUGAGAGGCCACAACCCACGUGAGUCACUGAUGUAUGACCGUCGCUACGAGCCUUAUUUUAGAAGAAUGGAUCUUCUCCAGUUUGUGCUCAACUUUAAAGGCACACCACCAUGGCUGAACUCGACGGCCAUUACCGCCCUUACGGACCGUUGGAGGCCGGAGACGCACUAUUUUCACCUUGCUCUUGGUGAGAUGACCGUCACUCUGGAGGAUAUUGCGAUGAUCUCCGGUCUUCCGAUCGAAGGCAGGGCUCUUACCGGGAAGGUGAAGUCCGAGGGGUGGCGACAAAGGGAUGCAGGUUUGGUUGGUGUUGAACCUCCCCAGUGGAUUCAUGAAACAAAGAAGGAUCCUAGGCCAUCUGGUGUUUUGUUCUGGUGGCUACAAAAACAUUUUUACGAGUGCCCAGAGAAUGUCAGUCCGGCUGUUGUGGAGAGGUACGCAAGGGCUUACUUAUGGAAUCUUAUGACCCAAGUGGUGUUUCCUGACGGCACGGGAGACACAACCUCCUGGAUGUUCUUGGACCCUCUUCGUAACUGGGAUGUUAAGUGGAGUUGGGGGUCGGCGGCACUGGCCUUCUUGUACCGUCAGUUGGACGGAGCAUGUAUGAGGAGUAAGCCGAAAUCUUGUCUUGGUGGUUUUGUUUGGGCCCUACAGAUUUGGAUGUGGGAGCGUAUCCCUAUGGGCCAUAACUUGACCAUUGCUCCGGAAGAACCUUGGGAGUGGCCUUUCGACGGGGAUGAGGAGCGGUAUCCCACUAUCGCAUACACGUGGGCUAAUGUCCAAGUGUCUAGUAUCGCAGCCAUGGGGCGGUACAAGGCAUACAUAAGCAAGCUUGACAUGCUUACUUAA
rnacentral:rRNA from 1 species